UGUAGGGUGACGUUGAAACUAGGAUACCUGGCUCUCACCCAGGAGACCCGGGUUCGAUUCCCGGUGCUACAA
rnacentral:tRNA from 1 species